rnacentral:rRNA from 1 species
CCUACGGGGGGCAGCAGUGAGGAAUAUUGGUCAAUGGACGCAAGCCUGAACCAGCCAUGCCGCGUGCAGGAAGAAGGCUCUAUGAGUUGUAAACUGCUUUUGUACGAGGGUAAACGCAGAUACGCGUACCUGUCUGAAAGUAUCGUACGAAUAAGGAUCGGCUAACUCCGUGCCAGCAGCCGCGGUAAUACGGAGGAUUCAAGCGUUAUCCGGAUUUAUUGGGUUUAAAGGGUGCGUAGGCGGUCUGAUAAGUUAGAGGUGAAAUCCCGAGGCUCAACCUCGGAAUUGCCUCUGAUACUGGUAGGCUAGAGAGUAGUUGAGGUAGGCGGAAUGUAUGGUGUAGCGGUGAAAUGCUUAGAGAUCAUACAGAACACCGAUUGCGAAGGCAGCUUACCAAGCUACUACUGACGUUGAGGCACGAAAGCGUGGGGAGCAAACAGGAUUAGAUACCCGUGUAGUC